AUUGAACGCUGGCGGCAGGCCUAACACAUGCAAGUCGAACGGUAACAGGAAGCAGCUUGCUGCUUCGCUGACGAGUGGCGGACGGGUGAGUAAUGUCUGGGAAACUGCCUGAUGGAGGGGGAUAACUACUGGAAACGGUAGCUAAUACCGCAUAACGUCGCAAGACCAAGGAGGGGGACCUUAGGGCCUCUUGCCAUCGGAUGUGCCCAGAUGGGAUUAGCUAGUAGGUGGGGUAACGGCUCACCUAGGCGACGAUCCCUAGCUGGUCUGAGAGGAUGACCAGCCACACUGGAACUGAGACACGGUCCAGACUCCUACGGGAGGCAGCAGUGGGGAAUAUUGCACACUGGGCGCAAGCCUGAUGCAGCCAUGCCGCGUGUAUGAAGAAGGCCUUCGGGUUGCAAAGUACUUUCAGCGGGGAGGAAGGGAGUAAAGUUAAUACCUUUGCUCAUUGACGUUACCCGCAGAAGAAGCACCGGCUAACUCCGUG
rnacentral:rRNA from 1 species